rnacentral:rRNA from 1 species
AUGUCCUCCCAUCCCUCACCCCUUUUCCCUCUGAAGCCUCCCACUCCGCAUCUUCUCUUCUCGCUUCCCCGCUGCCAUGCGCCAACCCCGCCGUCACCCGUCGAUCCGGCUGCGGCACUGCGCACUUCCACCCUCGUUGCCCUCCCUGGUCCAGCAACGUCACCUGCUCCCUUCAACUCCUGUCUCGGUCUUCAUGACCCUCAGAUCUAG